rnacentral:rRNA from 1 species
AUGUCGUCCUUCGCCGGCGUAUCUGUCCUGGCCGACGGAGAGCUGUGCCCCGCCACCGCGUCGACCGUCGGCACCAACGAGGUCUGCGGAUACCAUCUGCUGGUGGUCCACGACUACUCACGCACCACGGAAGAGGCGCCCACCGGCGAGAGCAUCAGCUCCCGUCCUUUCAUGGUGGGAGGCCAUUGUUGGAUCAACAAGUACUACCCCAACGGCGAAGACUCCGACUCUGCCGACUUCAUUUCUCUCGAGCUUUCGUGUCUCCAAGACGAUGUUAACAAGAAGCAUGUGGAAGCCAAGGUCGUUUUUACUUUCAUAGACCAGGUUAAGAUGCAGAAUCCAGUCUACAUUGCUGAAGCUGAGACAUGCAGCUUCCAUGAUUUUUCUCGGGGCAGACACAAGUUCAUGAGAAGAGAAGCCCUUGAACAAUCAUCAGUGAAUCUAAAUGACGAUUCUUUCACCAUCCGGUGCGACAUCAUGGUCUCCUCCUGCAACACCAAGGACGAUGCCGCCACUAGCACCAGGGUGCCCCUGCCUCACAUGUGCCAGCACUUUGAAGAUCUCCUUUACACCGAGGUGGGUGCUGAUGUGGAAUUUGAGGUUGGCGGCGGGAGGCUGGCUGCACACCGGUGUGUGCUCGCAGCCCGAUCCAAGGUCUUCAUGUCACAAUUCUUUGGCCCCAUGAAGGAAGGCACUGAUAAGACCGCUGUCAUACAGAUCAAAGACAUGGAAGCAAGCGUGUUCAGGGCCUUGCUUAGCUUCAUCUACACCGACACGUUCCCUGAUAUGGAGGAUGAUGAUGGCAUGGAGGAGGACGGUAUGUCACAAGUUGCGGAGCAAGAACAAGAAAACGAGACAUUAGAGGAUGAAAUGCGGUUGCAAUGGCUACAACUUGUUUGUAGCGCAGACAGAUAUGAUGUCCAACGACUCAAGUUCAUCUGUGCAAGGAAGUUGUCUGAGCACAUAUGUGUGAGCUCGGUCAUGUCCACUCUUGCUCUAGCCGAGCAGCACCACUGCCAUGGAUUGAAAGAGGCAUGCUUCAAGCUUUGUGGCCGGCUUCGGAACGCGGACGCAUAA